AGUUUGAUCCUGGCUCAGGAUGAACGCUAGCUACAGGCUUAACACAUGCAAGUCGAGGGGCAGCAUCAUCAAAGCUUGCUUUGAUGGAUGGCGACCGGCGCACGGGUGAGUAACACGUAUCCAACCUGCCGACAACACUGGGAUAGCCUUUCGAAAGAAAGAUUAAUACCGGAUGGCAUAGUUUUCCCGCAUGGGAUAAUUAUUAAAGAAUUUCGGUUGUCGAUGGGGAUGCGUUCCAUUAGGCAGUUGGCGGGGUAACGGCCCACCAAACCUACGAUGGAUAGGGGUUCUGAGAGGAAGGUCCCCCACAUUGGAACUGAGACACGGUCCAAACUCCUACGGGAGGCAGCAGUGAGGAAUAUUGGUCAAUGGACGAGAGUCUGAACCAGCCAAGUAGCGUGAAGGAUGACUGCCCUAUGGGUUGUAAACUUCUUUUAUACGGGAAUAAAGUUAGCCACGUGUGGUUUUUUGUAUGUACCGUAUGAAUAAGGAUCGGCUAACUCCGUGCCAGCAGCCGCGGUAAUACGGAGGAUCCGAGCGUUAUCCGGAUUUAUUGGGUUUAAAGGGAGCGUAGGCGGGUUGUUAAGUCAGUUGUGAAAGUUUGCGGCUCAACCGUAAAAUUGCAGUUGAUACUGGCGACCUUGAGUGCAACAGAGGUAGGCGGAAUUCGUGGUGUAGCGGUGAAAUGCUUAGAUAUCACGAAGAACUCCGAUUGCGAAGGCAGCUUACUGGAUUGUAACUGACGCUGAUGCUCGAAAGUGUGGGUAUCAAACAGGAUUAGAUACCCUGGUAGUCCACACAGUAAACGAUGAGUACUCGCUGUUGGCGAUAUACGGUCAGCGGCCAAGCGAAAGCAUUAAGUAUUCCACCUGGGGAGUACGCCGGCAACGGUGAAACUCAAAGGAAUUGACGGGGGCCCGCACAAGCGGAGGAACAUGUGGUUUAAUUCGAUGAUACGCGAGGAACCUUACCCGGGCUUAAAUUGCAACUGACUGAACCGGAGACGGUUCUUUCUUCGGACAGUUGUGAAGGUGCUGCAUGGUUGUCGUCAGCUCGUGCCGUGAGGUGUCGGCUUAAGUGCCAUAACGAGCGCAACCCUUAUCGAUAGUUACUAGCAGGUCAUGCUGAGGACUCUAUUGAGACUGCCGUCGUAAGAUGUGAGGAAGGUGG
rnacentral:rRNA from 1 species